UGACAUCGUGGCGGGGGCAGCGCUCAUAGGUACGUUUUAGGCGCUCGUAGAAGGUAUCAUUGAUCACUUCGUCGUUCUCUUCCGUCGGGGCGUGGGCGCAAAUCAGCGAUAUUUUGAAGAACCUCGCUUUGAUGCGUAUUGUGGCUAGACGUUCACCCACCGGAGUGAAUGCCAGGACUCGACGACGGAGUCUCUCUCCCACCACGAAUCCCACACCGAAUUUGCGCUCCUUUAUAUGGCCACUGUAGUAGAUAGAGGUGGAGAAACAUCGAUGCGAACAUCGAUGACAUCGAGGUUUUCGAAACAUCGGCAACAUCGAUGCUUAGCUGGGCAAAAUCGAUGUUUUUCCAUCUCUAAGGCGCAUAGAGGAAAACAGUCGAAUUCUAAGUACAUAUAUCAUUUAAUCUCAUUAUAAAUUAUUAACAGAAUAUUGUUAUUUUAGUUAUACUUGUUGGUGGUGUUGACGUGAAUGUGGUGGUACUUAAACAUGGAAAGGUUUAUGAAAAGAACCGCAAGCGAACAGCCAAAGCCUGAUGAUGAUCAAAAGGAGAGGAGGCGUGAUGUUUCUAUAGCUUGGGAUCAUUUUAAAAGAAACAGCGAAAAAACGCAUGGGAUAUGCAAUUACUGUGGUAAGCCAAUAAAGAUGUGUGGAAACACAACAAAUCUAAUGGACCACUUAAAGCACGUUCAUGCUGAUCGGCUUAAAGUUGGGGGAACUGCACAGAAACCAAACAUCUUAGAAAAGUUUGUUGGAAAAUCGGUUUCCUUUUAUGAAAAUGACUCGAAACGAAAACGUCUCCUAGACAGUAAGGUCAUGAACAUGAUUGCUGUCGAUGUUCAACCUUUUUCUUGUGUUGAGGACGACGGAUUUAAAGAGCUCAUGAAAGAAAUGGACCCCCGCUACAGGUUACCUAGUAGGUCACACCUGCGCGACGUAGUGCUUCCAUCUCAAUAUGAGUCUCUUAUGAAUAAACUCCAGUCUGUACUUAACGAUAUUGAUUUUGUGGCCAUAACGACUGACUUGUGGACAUCCAAAGCAAACGAAGGUUACAUUACAGUUACGUGCCAUUUUGUUUUAAAUAGUUUUACGUUGGAGUCAGCAAUUUUAGCAACAAGGCAACUUCUUGACACUACCAAUCACAAUGCUAUUAAUAUUUCUGAAACACUAAAGGACGUGCGUCCAUAAUUAUCCCUGUCAUAUGCGAACUGAAUCAUAAAAUAAACAAUAUUAAAGUCAACACAGAAAAAGGCAAAAACAUAUUGACGACCAUCAAGUUUAGUCUUACCAAGAGGCUCGCAAGCUAUGAAACACGCACAAUACCACGAAUUGCUACCAUACUAGAUCCCCGCUUUAAGAAGCACGGAUUUUGUAAUCCCUUUAAUGCGGAAAAGCUGUGCAACAUGAACUGUUUACACUACUACCUGCAAACCCACUACAUCCGCCAACAUCACCAACACAGGAACCAAGCCGAUUUUCAUUUCAACAACUCAAAAGCCAAAACAAGGUGCACUCUUCCUGUGUAGAUGCCAUUAUCCUGAUGAGACAGCAUUUUGAAAAGGAGAACCAGCCGGAAAAAUGUGACCCUCUUGCGUACUGGCAGAUUACUACAGAUGGCGACGCGUUUAAAACGUUAGCUAAAAAAUACUUCUGCGUUCCCGCAUCUUCGUGCGAAUCUGAAAGAGUUUUCAGUAAAGCUGGACAACUUAUAAGUGAGCGUCGCACGCGGCUAUCAUCGACCGUCGUCGAUAAGCUCCUCUUUUUAAACAAAAACAAACAUGUAAAUAAUAUGUAAAUAUAUAUAGUAGAGUUUGGGAUAGUAAGUAAGGAUAGUAAAGUAGGGAUAGUAAGUAUGUAUGUAUGUGAUUGGCGUUGCAACCGUUUAGCCGGUUAUAGCCGAAUCGACGAUAGUGCGCCAUCUCUCUCUCUCCUUCGCAGUUCGGCGCCAGUUGGAGAUCCCAAGUGUAACCAGGUCGCUCUCCACCUGGUCCCUCUAACGGAGUGGAGGCCUUCCCCUUCCUCGGCUUCCUCCGGCGAGUACUGCAUCGAACACUUUCAGGGCUGGAGUGUUUUCGUCCAUUCGGACAACAUGACCUAGCCA